UAAAGGGCAUAAACUGACAUUCUAAGGU
rnacentral:piRNA from 1 species